rnacentral:lncRNA from 1 species
AUUUGAUAAUGGUUCAUUCAAGUCUCCCACUAAUAUGGCUUUACUGUCUAUUUCCUCCUUCAAUUCUCCUAGUUUCUCCAUUAGAAAUUUGGAUGCAAUUCUGUUUGGUGCAUACAUGUUGAUUAGUGAUAUUUCCUCAUUGUCUAUAUUCCCUUUUAACACAAUAUAAUUACUUUCCCUAUCCCUUUUGAUCAGGUCUAUUUUUGCUUUGGCUUUAUCAGAUAUCAUGAUUGCCACUCCUGCCUUUUUUCUGUCAGUUGAGGCCCAGAAGUCUUACUCCAUCCUUUAAUUCUGACCUUGUGGGUGUCUACCUGCCUCAUGUGUGUUUCUUGAAGACAACAUAUGGUAGGGAUUUGGAUUCUAAUCCAUUCUGCUAUUCAUCUACGUUUUAUGGAUUUCCCAUGUUCACCAGAUGGGGAAAGUGAGACUGAACUAGUACCUGAUGACAAUGAAGAAAAGCAAGAAAGAGAGAAGAAACACUCCAACUUCACUUUGUGCAAUGUAUGUAAUAUUCAGCUGAAUUCAGCUGCACAAGCACAAAUCCACUAUAAUGGAAAAUCACAUCAGAAGAGAUUAAAACAACUCAGCAAUGGAAAUAUUAAAAGUGAUAAUGGUGAUUGGGAAGCUGCAGCAAGCUCAAGAAUUAUAGGUCAUAAAGACUGUCCAAAACACUCAUCUGGUAGUUGAGAAAAUGAAUAAGGUUGUGAAUUCCUUCAUUCAUAACUUCUUCACAGUGAUGUGCUACAAGUCCUACCACCAUAGAAAAAUAAGCUUAAAAGUGGUAUUGUUCCAUCAAAAGGUAUGUGUCAUUUCAUAACUUCUUGGGCAUAAUUCGAGAUUGCUUUCCAAAAUGGUUGGAUCAGUCCACAAUUCUACCAGCAGUGUAUUAGUGUAAUCAUUUUCCCUUAUGUUCUCUAACUUUUGUCAUUUUGUCUUUUUAUCAUUGUAGCCAAUUUGAAGAAAAAUUGCCAAAAGAAAUCCGAGAACUAUAUAUAGCUAUGACACACUUUUUAUACAAAGUCAGAUUUAAAUAAUUGGAGUAAUAUUAAUUGUUCAUGAAUGGGCAGAGUCAAUAUAAUUCAAAUUACAAUUCUACCUAAAUUCAUCUAUUUUUCAAUACCAUUUCAAUUAAAUUAACAAAAAAAACUGAAAUAGAAAAAAUAGCAAAUUCAUUUGAAGAACAAAGGUCAACAAUAUUAAAGGAAUUAAUGAUAAAAUAAGAAUAUACAUUUUGAUAAAAGUUCCAGAAGUAAUGAAAUAAUGUUAAAGAAAAUUAAAGCAAUUUUUUUCUGAUGAAGCCUUUUUUCACAAGCAGACACUGAGUCAAAUUUAUAGUCAUUCCUGGCUCUCAUUAAUUUUCAAGGCAUGGGAGCAAGAAGUUUUCAGAAGAAGAAUUCUCUACAGCCAUAAGAAAAGAUGCUCUAAUUUGUUUUUAAAAAACAAUAUUUUCUUUCUUUCUAAUUACUUAUAAAAACAAUUUUAAACUUGUUUUUAAAUUUUGAAUCUUAAAAUCUUUUCCUUUCUCUCUCUCCUCCAAUCUCCUUGAGACAGUAAACAAUCUGAUUUAGAUUUUACAUGUACAAUCAUGUAAAGCAUUUUUUCCAUAUUAGUCCUUUUGUGGAAGAAAAUGUACACACACACAUACAAAUGAAGAAAUAAAGUGAAAUGAUGUAUGUUUUUGUCUGGAUUA